rnacentral:tRNA from 1 species
AGAGACUUAAGUUAUAUCAAACUAGGAGCCUUCAAAGCCCCACAAAAAGUACUACUUUAGUCCCUG